CGAGUUCCCGUACGAUCACCGAAGUUAAGCAACGUCGAGCCUGGUCAGUACCUAGUUGGGCAACCGCUUGGGAAUACCAGGUGCUGUAAG
rnacentral:rRNA from 1 species